rnacentral:rRNA from 1 species
GAUGAACGCUGGCGGCGUGCUUAACACAUGCAAGUCGAACGAAGCACUCUAUUUGAUUUUCUUCGGAAAUGAAGAUUUUGUGACUGAGUGGCGGACGGGUGAGUAACGCGUGGGUAACCUGCCUCAUACAGGGGGAUAACAGUUGGAAACGACUGCUAAUACCGCAUAAGCGCACAGGAUCGCAUGAUCCGGUGUGAAAAACUCCGGUGGUAUGGGAUGGACCCGCGUCUGAUUAGCCAGUUGGCAGGGUAACGGCCUACCAAAGCGACGAUCAGUAGCCGACCUGAGAGGGUGACCGGCCACAUUGGGACUGAGACACGGCCCAAACUCCUACGGGAGGCAGCAGUGGGGAAUAUUGCACAAUGGGGGAAACCCUGAUGCAGCGACGCCGCGUGAGCGAAGAAGUAUUUCGGUAUGUAAAGCUCUAUCAGCAGGGAAGAAGAAUGACGGUACCUGACUAAGAAGCACCGGCUAA